AUUACCUUAAAUUUCAAAAAUUCCAUAGCCUUUAUCUUUUAUAAUCAUAUAUGAUGCAAGGUAUAAUGAUGACUUUUGAAACAACACUUAUUAUUCACAUGAAUUACCACAUGACACAAAAGAGCAACUAAUUCACCUAAUCUUUAAAUUACAAUUACUUUAAGGUCUAAGAUACCAAUCACAAAUUAAAAAAUCAUAAAUGUUUAUUAAGGAGUUUUGUGCCAGGGAUAAUGCUAAGAUAUUUAUAUUAUUAUCAAAUUUAAUCUUCACAUUUUAUAGAUGGAGACACUGAGGUUUAAAGAGAUUAACUCGCCACCAUCAAAAGAUAAUGGAGCUGUAAUUCCGCCCUAGGUUGGUCCAGAGUUCAACCACUAUGCUCCAGUGUUAGUACAGUAAGCGCACAUCACUUGCUUUUUGACUAAGAACAUAUAUCGUCGUACUUCUUUGUUGAUUAUAUUAAAAAAGCUAUGAUCAACAUUUAGCAUUUUCACUGGAAAACUGGCCAUCAUAGUUGCAUCAUAGUCAAGGUUGCCAUAAAUCUGAAAAUGGGCAUAGGCAGGAAUACCAGUUGGAGGGAAAAAAAAAUUAUCUUCCUCUUCCCAGUCACACAUCCUUAUUUGCUGAACUUUCCCUUCCCUGUCAUAUUCACAUCUGGCAGGGGACAAACUGACUGCAAUCUGGGACCUUCAGAAGAAAGCACAGGGAACUCAGCAGACAAAGGAAUACAAAUGGGAAAAAGCAACAAAGUUGAUUUGGAAAGAGUUGUGGGUGAGAAAAGGGAACCAACAGAAUAGUGUGGGCAGUCAUGUAUUCUUCUACGGAACUAUGCAACCAAAAGACUUAGAUGGCAGAGUAUCCUUUCUAGCAAAUGUUUACUCAACAGAUGAAGAAUUUUAAGGAAAGUUUUUCUUGGGAGGUAUAUAUUAUUUUGCUUAGUGCGAACUUCUAGGAGAGUAUCAUUAAUUAAUCCCUACCCCCCAAAAAAAGACUAUGAUGAAGCUAUAGCUAAAGAAUUCAAAUUAAUUUAGAAUUAUUUUAAUAAACUUCAAUCAAAUUUAAGCCCUCCUUAUUAUAUUUGUGGUACAGUUCAAUGCUUUGCAAAGGGCCGUAUCUGAGCUCUUCUGAGUUUUUUGCAAACUAUACAGCAUAUGGUAGACUACAUAACACAAUGUAGGCAAUUCCUACACUGUCUAUAAUGUAUGUGUGUAGACAAUGUCAAGUAUAUAACCCUUAUGCAAUAUUACACUUAACUGGCAUAAUUAAUCAUGUACACACACAUUUGGGGAAAAAGGAUAGUCCUUUACCUGACACUGAUAUUAUAAAAUCCUUUCUCUAUCCCUAACUCACCUUUCAGGAGGGGAAGGGCACAGUCUUGAAGUUCCAUUAGGACACCGUCCAGGACACCCAUCAUGGGGGUGAUAUCCAACAGCACAAGAAUUAUAGGCUAUGAAAUAUCAAGAACAGUAUCUGUUAGUGUAGGCUAUUUCAUUUAGACACAAGACAGUCUUUUCAGUUUUUAUUUGGUAUGUACAUGCAUAUAAUUCCCAUUAAUUAGUCAUGAUGAUUAUUUUAGGAGGUCAGGUAUCUAGUACUAUGCCCUUUCAGAAAAAAGAAUGCUAUAAAACCAGCACCAGUUUGCUAACAGACACAGUGAGAGGAUCACCACUACUCAAUUUUAAGAGUAUGUGAAAAAAACAUCAAAUUGAGUGACAUACCACAGCUUGCUCUUAUUGUUAAUAGCUGUAUGUUUGAUUUCAGUUCAUGGAAAGCUAAGUACAGUAUCUGACAUGAAAGAAGAAUUCAAUAUCCAUGGGUCAAGAAAUGGAAUAAAUGAAUACCUUAGAAAAGGAUUUUACUGUAAAUUAAUUGGGCUUGUUGGAAAUGGGAGCACCUGCUUCUAUUGGGAAGCAGAUUUUCUGACUAUUUUGGUUCUAAAGGGCCAUUUAUGAACAAGGAAGUGCUCACUGAGCAACUUUUUUUCCCACAUGACUGUAAGUUACUGUCAUUAGUGUUAUCUCCCAUUGACUGACACCUGCUGGUUGCACCAAGUCAACUAAGUACAAUAUAUGGAAGAGUUCUCAUUUGCAAAGUGCUUUCAGUGCCUGGAGGAAUACAUAUAAAUACCUUACUAGCUUCCAUUUAUAGCAAUGUACCUAUUACAUUUCUUGGGAUUAUCUAUUCCUUCAUUGUUUUACAAUUUGUGUACAACUAAAUACAGAAUUUUAUCAACCAUAUUCUUACUCUAAUAACUUAAGAUUUAUAGACAUCUGUUCCUACCUGGUCUUUACCAAAGACAGAUCCAUUUCCAAUACUGUACAGCAGUGAAUAUGCAAUCUGACCAGCUGCUCCAGUCA